GAGGCGGGACGGAGUUGGGGCCGGUGGGGAGGGGCAUGAGGCGCUCGCAGGCACCUCGAGAAGCAGGCCCCGACCGCUCGCCGACGAAGCCUCGUCCGGGCCUCCUGGGAGCGGGGUGGCAGGCACCGUGGCGCCUCCUCGCGUUGGUCUUGCUGGUUCUCGGCCCCCGAAGCGGAGCGACGGAGACACAGCUGUGGAAGCAUCUGGAUCCGCUGCCCAGGUCCCCGAGCUUCCCGGAACCCGAGGCCGCAGGACACUGAAGGCUGCCAUUCCCGAGUAAGUGAGUGCAGUAAAGACCGGUAAGGCCCACGCAGAAGAAACACUGAGGAAAGAAGACACUUCCAAAGUAACAAAUGGGAGGAAGCAGCCAACGCCCGAGGACAACAUGGCAAGAAGGAGCCUUUGGAUUCCGGACUGGGAUGGAAAGAGAGUUGAUUGAAUCCCGGAAUUUGGAAACCCCAGAUACGGAGGGCGGACGGUACAACCGGAGCUGUCAGGUGGAUUUCCAAGGCUUUGCAUUGGCUGUACCUGAAACUUAUGGUGGCCUAGACUCCCCAGUAUCCACUCUUCCUUAUCUUGGUAAACAAGCCCAGUUCUUAGUCACAUCCCUGCUCUGCCUACUUACAGGGGCAUGUGGUCCCAAUCUAAGCAACGUAGCAUAAUUCCAACCUAAAUCAGCAGAAUCCCAUUCCCUGCCACAGUUAUUGGCUGGCAAUGAGCGUAACAUAUUUGGGCCAAUGAGGAGCAAUUUCCUGGUCUUUGUUGGGAAAAGUUUUUCUUUCAUUUUCUGAGAGCGCUUCAGAGGUAACCCAUUCUUUCUGCAUGUCCUCAAAAAAACGGGUCCCCUGGAUGGUGGGUAGCCAUCUUCCAAAUACAAGUCUAGCC
rnacentral:lncRNA from 1 species